UUAAGUUCAGCGGGUAUCCCUACCUGAUCCGAGGUCAAGACUUGUAAAAAGGUCUCGUGGAGCGCCCGUCCCCGCCAGUCCGCUCGCGCGUUUUUGCUGCGCUCGCGGCUGGAGGGGUGCGGCUGCCAAUUCAUUUGGGGCGAGUCUUCCGCGGGGAGGCGGGACAACGCCCAACACAAGCCAGGCUUGAAGGUUGAAAU
rnacentral:misc_RNA from 1 species